GCAAUUCUGGCUUAGUUGAAUUGUCAUUUUGGGAAACGUUCUUUCUUUUACUCAGACCGCGCGCAGCAUAAGCUGCGAAUUUUAAUCUUCCGUUAUUGAAAUAAUCCUCACAGCUGAAGAUAUAAUAACAACGGCGCUUUAAAGUUUUUACUCUUUUUAACAUGAGAGCUAAGUGGCGUAAGAAGCGCAUGCGAAGGCUAAAGCGCAAAAGGAGGAAGAUGCGUGCGAGGUCUAAAUAAGCGGUACAUUCGAAUGGAGGUGGAUGAUGAAGAAAAUUCUAAAUUCCCUGCAUACUUGUGUAUCAAAUAAAAUUUAAAAAAUCCAA